GCCUUUGUAGUGAAACGGUAGCGCACUCGGCUUGCAUUCGAGAGGUCCAGGUUCAACUUCCGGUGAGGGUA
rnacentral:tRNA from 1 species